AAUCUUUUUUUAGAGUUCCCUCCUUGGUGAUGCUUUCUCCUGUGAACCUGGGCUCUUCUGGUACAGGUAAAAGGCGGGAGCCUCAGCAGGAGAUGGAAGGAAUGUGAAAACUGGAAUUCCCCUCCAGAAAAGGGAGGAAGCCAUGCUCAGGAGGAUUCUUGGGCUUAUCACUGAUUAUGCUAACAACAAAACUAAACCCAGAAAAAUGGGUACUUGUGGACAGUAGGUGCGUGUUUGCUUGGUUUAGAGUUGGAGAUAUCUUAAUGUCUUAUUUAUAGCUUACCUUCAUCUUGACGUGACUAUUGUAUUAAAAAAAAAAAAAAAGAAAGCAAGAUCAGAGGAGAGAUGUGGACAGCAGUGAAUUUGGAUUUCAGGAGAACUAGCAUCUGUGGCCUGUGUAUAUACUAAAUCUGACAUUCUGCCAUCACUAUGAGAGGGAUAUCAGCAAGAGAGAAAGGCUGGAGUGGGGAAAUAAAUGUGCAUAACCUCACACUGCCAGUCCUCCCAUGCAACUGGAUGCGUUAAGUUUCCUUGUGAAUGGAAUGAAAAUGGCGACUCGCAUAAUGCACUAAGGAUCUCAAGCUCACAUCAUUGGCAGAUGUUAACUGGGCAGAGGCACAAGGUAACAGUCUUUAUCCUGUAUCAGUGAACUCAGUAGGAGUAUUUAAAUUUAGUUUGAUGAAUACUGAUUUCUAGAGGGAGGGCUGCCAGGAUCCUACUAGCCAAAAUCUGUUCUGACUUCCAUUGCUACAUAUGCAGAGGUACUGGAGAAGAACAAAGGAGUCCACUCCUGCUCCAGUUGUUGUAGACAUUUAAGGAUUGUCACUGAACCUAUAUUACAGGAAAAAGGAGGAAAAUAGUGUUGUUUGCCACUUCAAACAUGUUCCACAAAAAUCAUUCUAACGAGGCAGGUUAUAAUUUUAUUUUCAAUUGUAGUGACAUGAAUCUUUUAAGCUUCAGUUCUUUAAGUAUUUAUAGCUUCAGAGCUUUCCAUUCUGUAUAGAUAUGCUCACCUUUGUACAAGAUGAAGAUUAAAUGAGUUGUUUAUGUCACUAAAACCUGAACAUGUUGUCCCUGACAGGUGAAAAAAUGUUCUCUCUUACAUAUUGGCAAACUGUACGCUCACUGCCUUUUUGGUGUAAAUUAUCUGUGGUUUACUUUUUUUUUAGUGGGUCGUCUUGAUAUUCCUGGCUAACAUCUUUGCAGCUUUAUUAGUACAUACACAACUCAAUAUUGCCUUGCACAAAGUGUUUUCUAUGGCUUGUAUACAAGAUUUUGUUUUUCUUAAUAUACUACAAACAUUGGCAAUCGAUGUGAUAUGUAUCAGAUCUUUACAUUUGAACUGUAAUUAGAUUACAGAAGGAAAUAUUUGUACUGGUUGCUGUUCUCCUGUUUUGAAAUUCAAGGAAUAUUGUUUUAAACACUGCUACAUUUAUUUUAAGAACUUCUUAAAAGACUUUGUAUGGAUAAGUCAAACUUUAGAUCUGUUGAACAGUGUUAUUCUGAGAAUUAUCCAUUUAUGCCUGGGGGAGUUCUUGCCUGUGAUGGAAAUGUUUAUGAAAAGUAUCUGUGAAUGGAAAAUCACUGUUGAAUCCUAAGGCCAAGCAGUGAAGAUUGCCAUAUUAGUUCAAGUUCAUAACCAUCAGAAACAAGGAACUUAGCCUUGCAUUUUUCUUGAUAAAUAUAUAUAUACAUAUAUGAGUUACAGACCAAUGAAAUUAAAGAUAAUUGUUUCAUAAAUACACUGGCUGUGUUUUUACCACAAAUCUUAACCAUACCAUUUGAUAACUUGGAAAGCUAAGGACGUUAGUGCCAAAAUAUAUAAUCACUACUAAUGAUGGCCAUUUACCUUAUUUAUUUGUGAUAGGAAGCUGCAUCAUUCUCUGCUCCUUUGAUAGUCUCUGCCUAGCAACACUGGCUCUAUUUGCUCUCUUCUGUUUUCUGAAAGCAGUUCACUUUUCCCUAGUCCAAGCAGUCUGCUUUCAAACACCUUUCUCUGCCUAAGCCAGUGCAGCAGUGCUUUACAGUGCAGACAUCGCGUUACCAGAAGAAGAGAAUUCUUAGAUCCUCAUCAGCAUCUCCCUGUUCGUUCUGCCAUGUCCUGCUUCAUUAUGCUUUAAUUUGAACAUUUGUAAUGAUUUCAUAUAAUCAUCAGAUGUUUGAAUAGGAAAACUGUUCUCUAAUCCUUUUUCAAUUUUCUGCUCAUAUGAAUCUGAAGAAAUUAUUUCAGUGUUUAAACUAU
rnacentral:lncRNA from 1 species